rnacentral:lncRNA from 1 species
GGGAGCCUCCUGAUCCGUGAACCCGCGCUGGCGGGAGUAGCUACUGACCGCUGGGGACCCCUGCCCAGGCUGUUCGCAUGUGGAAAGGAUUCAGGGAGCAGGCGAUGCCCAAAGCGUGGAGACCAGCACUGCUCUCUCCCCAGUGACAGAGUUCAUGAGGCCCCUUGCCCGGAAUGUCCACAUUUGAAACCUCCCAACACCGAGCCCCAUUUCAAGUAUAACCAGGAGGGAAAAUGGUGCUUGAAAUAAGCAUGCCACAAAGGAAAACCUGCUUUCUCGAAAUGGGCCCUGGCCGCCCAGGCCCUGACCUCCCCGGCCAGGAUGGAACGUUCCAGAGACCCAUUAGUGCCAAAGGCAAAUGAAAACACACCCUGUGAAAAUGUC